AGUGAAGCCAAGUAGCCCUGGUGACAGGUCUAAAUUCUCCCAUGGAGAAUGGGGUGAGGGCAGGGAUGUAAAUAUCACUGAAUGGAACUGAACAAAAGUGAACCAACAGGACCGCUGGACUCCCAAGUGUCAGACCAGCUGUUUCUAACGUUUCUGCUUGCCUGUCUUUCUGUCUGCCAGCAUGCCUGACUGCCACCUAUCUGUCCGUGUGUCUCUUGGCCUCCCCCACUUCAGCACUCUCCUUACCCUAUCCCCAGGCGCCAUCUAUGCAGAACUGAAGAACACAGCCCCACUCUCACAGUCUUCACAGAUCUCCUCUGACCAUGGAAACCUUUAUCAGGAACUGAAUAUCGAUGAUGGAGGCAGGUCCCACACCAAGCCAGCUCUCCCGAACUCCCAGACCCAGACAGCUGCCAUCAACUCCAACUUCACCAAUCUGACUAACCUGACCUUCAGGACCCCCCAAACCACCCAGCCCUCCUGGACCACCCAGACCUCAGACUGCACCCCAAGAGGUAUCCGUGGGAUUCUCAUUGAGAAUCUGGUUUCAGCUAGAAACCUAGAAAUUUCUGAACAAUUUGGAAAUGUGAUACCAGGGGCUGGGCAUCAGGAGGUCCCCCUGUUGGUGGGGGUCCCUCUCUGGAAGGGAAGUAUCUCCCAGGGCCAGAGGUUGCUCUGAAUCCCAUUUUUGCCACCUCUCUCUCCUUCCUCCUCCUUUCUGCAGUGUCAGGCCCCUCCCAGCCCCUUGCUGGUGUCAAGACCCUCACACCCUCCGUGGCCACCUCAGAGCAUUUCCCUCAGAGCCCCAUUCAGUAGAGCAAGCAGGAGGCUCAGUCCAUGCCAGUGCUCCAGAUGAGGGUUUGGGUGAUUGACACAGGCUGAUCUGGGAUAAUAAUAACAUUAUUAAUAACAAUAAUAAUAUGAGUAUUUGUUAAGUAAUAUUGUAUUAAGCAGUCAGUAUUUGUAAGGAAGCAGCGUGGCUUAGUGGAAAGAGCACGAACUUUGAAAUCAGAGGUCAUGGGUUCUAAUCCCAGCUCUGCCACUUACCAGCUGUGUGACUUUGGGCAAAUCACUUAACUUCUCUGUGCCUCAUUUACCUCAUCUGUAAAAUGGGCAUUAAGAUUGUGAGCCUCACAUGGGACAACCUGAUGACCCUGUAUCUACUCCAGGGCUUAGAACAGUGCUUUGCACAUAGUAAGAACUUAACAAAUAUUAUAAUUAUUAUUAUCAUUAAGCUUUUAAUAUGUGGCAGCCACUAUACUAAGCUCUGGGUUGGAUAAUUGGGUGGGACACAGUCACAGUCAGUCAGUUUUAUUUAUUGAAUGCUUACUGUGAACAGAGCACUGUACUAAGCACUGGGUCGUGUACAAUACAAUAAUAAACUAACACAUUCCCUUCCCACAACGAGCUUGCAGUCUAUAGGGGGAGACAGACGUCAAUAUAUAUAAAUAAAUUACAGAUACAGACAUAAGUGCUGUUGGCUGGGAGAGGGGAUGAACAAAUGGUACUUGUUAAGCACUUAAUGUGUGCCAAGCACAGUGCUAAACACUGGGAUAGUUACAAGUUAAUCAACAUUGAACUCACACUCUUAAUCCCCAUUUUUCACAUAUGAGGUAACUGAGGCACAGAAAAGUAAAGUGUCUUGCCCAAGUCACAUAGAAGACAAAUGUCAGAGCUGGGAUUAGAACCCGUGAUGUGGUUCAGUGGAAAGAACACGGGCUUGGGAGUCAGAGGUCGUGGGUUCUAAUUCCAGCCCUGCCAUUUGUCAGCUGUGUGACUUUGGGCAAGUCACUUAACUUCUCUGUGCCUCACUUACCUCAUCUGUAAAAUGGGGAUUAAGACUGUGAGCCACACGUGGGACAAUCUUGUAUCUCCCCCAGUGCUUAGAACAGUGCUUGGUACUUAGUAAGUGCUUAACAAAUACCAUCAUCAUCAUCGUCAUUAUUAUUAUUAUAAUGAUUCUGACUCUCGGGCCAGUGCUGUAUCCACUACGCCAUGCUGCUUCCCUAAUAAAGCGAGCAAGUCAGGGCAACUCAGAAGGAAGUGGGAGAAGAGGAAAGGAGAGCUUAGUCAGGGAAGGCCUCUUGGAGGAGAUGUGCCUUCAAUAAGACCAUGAAGGGGGAGAGAGUGAUUGUCUGUUGGAUUUGAGGAGAGAGGGUGUUCUCAGCCAGAAACAGGAGAUGAGCGAGAAAUCAGAGGUGAGAUGGACGAGAUCAAGGAACAGUGAGUAGGUUAGCAUUAAGAAUGUCAGCCCUAAGUGUGACAGGGGUUGUGUCCAACCUGAUUUGCUUGUAGCACACUAGAAUUAUUCUUCUUAUUCUUAUUAGAGGAGCACAGUGUAUGGGCUGGGUUGUUGUAGUCAUUUAUUCAUUCAUUUGUAUUUAUUGAGUGUUUACUAUGUGCAGAGUACUGUACUUAGCCCUUGGAAAGUAAAAUUCAGCCAUAACAAAAGACAAUCCCUGCCCAAACCGGUUUACAAUCUAGAAGGGGGGAGACAGACAUCAAAACAAGUAAACAGGCAUCAAUAUAAAUAAAUGGAAUUAUAGGUGUAUAUACACCAAAACAAGUCAAGAGGCACUUAUAUAAAUACAUUGAAUUAUAGAUUUGUACAUAUAUAAGCGAGUGCUGUGGGGCAGGGAGGCGGGUAGAGCAGAGGGAAUGAGUCGG
rnacentral:lncRNA from 1 species